GUGCUCACUUUGGCAGCCCAUAUACUAAAACUGGAAUGAUACAGAGAAGAUGAGCAGGGCCCCCACACAAGGAUGACAUGCAAAUUCAUGAGGCAUUUCAUAUUUUU